AGAGUUUGAUCCUGGCUCAGAACGAACGCUGGCGGCGUGCUUAACACAUGCAAGUCCAACGUGAAAGGGGAGCAAUCCCCCGGUAGGGUGGCGAACGGGUGAGUAAUACAUGGGAAUCUGUCCUGGAGAUGGGGAUAUCCGUUCCGAAAGGAGGGUUAAUACCGAAUAUCGUCCGGGUGACGGGAGUCACUUGGGAAAGGGAGGCCGUCUGGCGAACAUGCUUCCGCUCCGGGAGGAGCCCACUGGCCCACUCAGGCUAGUUGGUAGGGUAACGG
rnacentral:rRNA from 1 species